CGAAACGGCCAGCCUUACACAUGCAAGUCGAGGGGUAACAGGGUGCUUGCACCGCUGACGACCGGCGAACGGGUGCGUAACGCGUAUAGAAUCUGCCUUGUACAGGAGGAUAGCCUUUAGAAAUGAAGAUUAAUACUCCAUAGUGUUGUGAACUGGCAUCAGUUUAUAAUUAAAGAUUUAUCGGUACAAGAUGACUAUGCGUCCUAUUAGCUAGAUGGUAAGGUAACGGCUUACCAUGGCAACGAUAGGUAGGGGGUCUGAGAGGAUUAUCCCCCACACUGGUACUGAGACACGGACCAGACUCCUACGGGAGGCAGCAGUGAGGAAUAUUGGUCAAUGGAGGCAACUCUGAACCAGCCAUGCCGCGUGCAGGAAGACUGCCCUAUGGGUUGUAAACUGCUUUUAUACAGGAAGAAACAGUCGUACGAGUACGACCUUGACGGUACUGUAAGAAUAAGCACCGGCUAACUCCGUGCCAGCAGCCGCGGUAAUACGGAGGGUGCAAGCGUUAUCCGGAAUCAUUGGGUUUAAAGGGUCCGCAGGCGGUCAAUUAAGUCAGAGGUGAAAUCCCAUAGCUUAACUAUGGAACUGCCUUUGAUACUGGUUGACUUGAGUUAUACGGAAGUAGAUAGAAUAAGUAGUGUAGCGGUGAAAUGCAUAGAUAUUACUUAGAAUACCGAUUGCGAAGGCAGUCUACUACGUAUAUACUGACGCUCAUGGACGAAAGCGUGGGGAGCGAACAGGAUUAGAUACCCUGGUAGUCCACGCCGUAAACGAUGGACACUAGUUGUUGGGCUUCGGUUCAGUGACUAAGCGAAAGUGAUAAGUGUCCCACCUGGGGAGUACGAUCGCAAGAUUGAAACUCAAAGGAAUUGACGGGGGCCCGCACAAGCGGUGGAGCAUGUGGUUUAAUUCGAUGAUACGCGAGGUAAUCCUUACCAGGGCUUAAAUGUAGAGUGACAGGGCUAGAGAUAGCUUUUUCUUCGGACACUUUACAAGGUGCUGCAUGGAUGUCGUCAGCUCGUGCCGUGAGGUGUCAGUAGUCCUAUACGAGCGCAACCCCUAUCGUUAGGUGGCUAGCAGGUUAAGCCUGAAGAACUCUAGCGAGACUGCUGUUGCCAAUCGUGAGUAGUGGGAUGACGUCUAAUCAUCAUCGGCUCUUAACGGUACG
rnacentral:rRNA from 2 species